rnacentral:rRNA from 1 species
CAGCAGCCGCGGUAAUACCGGCGGCCCGAGUGGCGUCUACUAUUUUUGGGCCUAAAGCGUCCGUAGCCGGGCUGGUAAGGCCUCCGGGAAAUCUGGUCGCUUAACGAUCAGACUUCCGGAGGAUACUGCUGGCCUAGGGACCGGGAGAGGCCGAGGGUAUUCCCGGGGGAGGGGGGAAAUCCUGUAAUCCCGGGAGGACCACCUGUGGCGAAGGCGCUCGGCUGGAACGGGUCCGACGGUGAGGGACGAAGGCCAGGGGAGCGAACCGGAUUAGAUACCCGGGUAGUCCUGGCUGUAAACGAUGCGGACUAGGUGUCGGGCAAGCUAAGGGCUUGUCCGGUGCCGCAGGGAAGCCGUUAAGUCCGCCGCCUGGGGAGUACGGCCGCAAGGCUGAAACUUAAAGGAAUUGGCGGG